rnacentral:rRNA from 1 species
UCAGUAACACGUAGUCAACAUGCCCAGGGACGUGGAUAACCUCGGGAAACUGAGGAUAAACCGCGAUAAGUCACUACUUCUGGAAUGGGUAAUGACUCAAAUCUAUAUGGCCCCUGGAUUGGACUGCGGCCGAUCAGGCUGUUGGUGAGGUAAUGGCCCACCAAACCUGUAACCGGUACGGGCUCUGAGAGGAGGAGCCCGGAGAUGGGCACUGAGACAAGGGCCCAGGCCCUAUGGGGCGCAGCAGGCGCGAAACCUCUGCAAUAGGCGAAAGCUUGACAGGGUUACUCUGAGUGAUUUCCGUUAAGGAGAUCUUUUGGCACCUCUAAAAAUGGUGCAGAAUAAGGGGUGGGCAAGUCUGGUGCCAGC